rnacentral:rRNA from 1 species
AUUGAACGCUGGCGGAAUGCUUUACACAUGCAAGUCGAACGGCAGCACGGGGGCAACCCUGGUGGCGAGUGGCGAACGGGUGAGUAAUACAUCGGAACGUGCCCAGUCGGGGGGGAUAACGUAGCGAAAGUUACGCUAAUACCGCAUACGCUCUACGGAUGAAAGCGGGGGACCGUAACGCCUCGCGCGAUUGGAGCGGCCGAUGUCAGAUUAGGUAGUUGGGGAGGUAAAGGCUCACCAAGCCGACGAUCUGUAGCUGGGCUGAGCGGACGACCAGCCACACUGGGACUGAGACACGGCCCAGACUCCUGCGGGAGGAAGCAGCGGGGAAUUUUGGACAAUGGGCGCAAGCCUGAUCCAGCCAUUCCGCGUGCAGGAAGGAGGCCUUCGGGUUGUAAACUGCUUUUGUACGGAACGAAAAGGCUCUGGUUAAUACCUGGGGCUCAUGACGGUACCGUAAGAAUAAGCACCGGCUAACUACGUGCCAGCCGCCGCCGUAA